UCCGGAGGGUGCAAGCGUUAUCCGGAUUUACUGGGUUUAAAGGGUGCGUAGGUGGGCUGGUAAGUCAGUGGUGAAAUCUCCGGGCUUAACCCGGAAACUGCCAUUGAUACUAUCUGUCUUGAAUUUCCUGGAGGUAAGCGGAAUAUGUCAUGUAGCGGUGAAAUGCUUAGAUAUGACAUAGAACACCAAUUGCGAAGGCAGCUUACUACGGGAAUAUUGACACUGAGGCACGAAAGCGUGGGGAGCAAACAGG
rnacentral:rRNA from 1 species